UUUAGACCAAUUGUCAAACAGUUUUUUCCUCAGAUUAGUAUUUUGAUGCAGAUGCAUUGACGCAUUCAAUUCAAUUUUAUUUAUAUAGCACUUUUAAGAAAAGACAUUCUGAGAAAGCAGCUUUACAGAAAUCCAGAUACUGAUGUACAGUAGAUUUAGAUCCAUUAUUAAAAAUCCAUGAGAAGACAUGUGAAAGAAACUUUGAGAGGAACCAGGCCCAAAACGGAACCCGUCCUCUUCUUGGCUACACUGGAUAAAGUUAUUAUGAAUCAUUACUGUACACUUCCACAAGCGUAAACUAUAAAACCAGACAGUAAUGAGAAAUGUUGAAAUGAUCUUCAGUACAAGCACCAGCAUUAUUUGGGUGAUUCACAGCAUCCAAACAACGCAUUUUACCAAAACACCCAGAUACACGUCUUUACAUACGAGAAACUCUAUUAAGAAAAGGCUUACCUAAACAAUCAGGUUUUCAGCCUGAAAAGGGGGGGGGGCUUCAGUCCCUGUUGUUGUCUUCAUCAUUCUAGGUACUAAUGAACAACCUGCUUCUUUUGCUCAAAGCAGACAUGGCGGAUCAUAAAAUACCAAAUAUUCACUCCAAGACCUUGGAGCUUUUUUAUAUACCUACUGGAACAUCCAGCUAGGAAGGUAUUACAGUAGUCCAAACUAUAGGCAACAAAGACAAAUGUACAGAGCAGUAUGAUUUGAAGCUAAUCAUUUGAGGUUUAUAUAAGUUAGUAUUCUUUUGUGUCAAUUUACACACACUCCGGAGCACAAAUAAGAUAUGAACAUUCUUCUGAAAUUAUGAGUUUUUCAUAAAUACCAAAUUUGUUGUGUAAAUAAUCCUAUCAGUGAUUUAUGAGUAAAACCAUUUGUAUUCGUAUUUUGCCCAAAAUGUACAUAUUUACAUAGGUACAUACAUUCCUUUUCUUAUGUGUAUUUUUGCAUGCUUUUGUGUGUUGCCUUGCAUUCCCUCUUACCUUGUCCAAAUGGAUAUCAUUUGUUUUAGGAGCUGCCACACCUCAUUUCACUGCACCUCUGUACCAGUUAUGAAUGCACAUGUGACAAAUACACCUUUGAAUCUUGAAAACAUUUUUAACAUAAUGAGACAACAAAAUUAUUUGGUAAUGAUUAUUGUGUAAUUUAUGGAAGAAAAAAAAACUGAUGCAACUGUAGGUGUAUUUUAAACAUCUGUUUUAAACAGUUCCAUGACUGUAUUAAUUCAUGACGGAUAAAUAUAUUUUGUAUUAAUAAAUCUUGUGCCCUUUUCCAUGUAAAG
ensembl:lncRNA